GGACCUCCAAACAUGACAUUUUUGCUAAAGCUAGAAAGCGGAGUGGUCUUGAUUAUCCAAAAUCCAAGUUUUCCUGGACUUUCCGCCUGAGUUUUUAAAGAUACAACAGCUAAACUAAAGGACCUGGAAAUAAGCUGCACCCAGUGAAAAUAGAGCCGGCAAAAGAAAAGAGCUUUCUCCUCUCACAUCAGGUUUUCCCAAAAAGUGACCUUGUGCUGCAACUGACACCACACACCAUUACAUCACACACCCCUGAAAACUCUUUAGCGGGACUGGAGAAUACAUAUUCUUGGUCUGGAUUAAGGUCAGGUGCAGCUUCUCUUCAUCAUUUUUUGAGGAGACAUCUUCAAUAGCCCCGGAAAAACUGAAGGAAAUAAUUUUGUCACAUUUUCUUUGUCAUGUGUUGUCACCUUUGGGACACUGAAGAAAUAAAGAACACUGUUUCUAAGAACCUAGGGUGUACUGUAGUGCUGGGAACCAGAAUGACAGAUGGAUAGCCAGACCAAGCUUCAAUUACUUGAAGAGAGAUAUUGAGAGCAAGCUGAAAGAUGGAGCCAAAAAUAAGACAAAGGCUGAGCACCCCAAACAUGGAAACCUCCGAUGCUGGACCCAAGAUCCCAGAUCUGGAAAUUUGCAUGAAUUGCACCGAUGUCAUAUUUUUUAUUCAUUAAAUUGUUUAGAAAAUGUA